rnacentral:rRNA from 1 species
CCUACGGGGGGCUGCAGUGGGGAAUCUUGCACAAUGGGGGAAACCCUGAUGCAGCGACGCCGCGUGAACGAUGAAGCCCUUCGGGGUGUAAAGUUCUUUCGGCAGGGACGAUAAUGACGGUACCUGCAGAAGCAGCUGCGGCUAACUACGUGCCAGCAGCCGCGGUAAUACGUAGGCAGCAAGCGUUGUUCGGAAUUACUGGGCGUAAAGAGUGCGUAGGCGGUUGGCUAAGUUUGAUGUGAAAUCUCCCGGCUUAACUGGGAGGGUGCGUCGAAAACUGGUCAGCUAGAGUGCGGGAGAGGAUAGUGGAAUUCCUGGUGUAGCGGUGAAAUGCGUAGAUAUCAGGAGGAACACCUGAGGUGUAGACGGCUAUCUGGACCGUAACUGACGCUGAGGCACGAAAGCGUGGGGAGCAAACAGGAUUAGAUACCCGAGUAGUC